rnacentral:rRNA from 1 species
UACGUAGGGUGCAAGCGUUGUCCGGAAUUAUUGGGCGUAAAGAGCUCGUAGGCGGUUUGUCGCGUCUGCUGUGAAAACUGGAGGCUCAACCUCCAGCCUGCAGUGGGUACGGGCAGACUAGAGUGCGGUAGGGGAGAUUGGAAUUCCUGGUGUAGCGGUGGAAUGCGCAGAUAUCGGGAGGAACACCGAUGGCGAAGGCAGAUCUCUGGGCCGUAACUGACGCUGAGGAGCGAAAGCAUGGGGAGCGAACAGG